rnacentral:rRNA from 1 species
GUGAUCCUGCCAGUAGUCAUAUGCUUGUCUCAAAGAUUAAGCCAUGCAUGUCUCAGUACAAGCCUAAUUAAGGUGAAACCGCGAAAGGCUCAUUAAAUCAGUUAUGGUUCCUUAGAUCGUACCCACACUUACUUGGAUAACUGUGGUAAUUCUAGAGCUAAUACAUGCAAACAGAGCUCCGACCGGAGACGGGAGGAGUGCUUUUAUUAGAUCAAAACCAAUCGGCAGCGGGCGCGUCCGCGCGUCCGUUCGCCGCUCUACCUGGUGACUCUGAAUAACUUUACGCUGAUCGCACGGUCUCGCACCGGCGACGCAUCUUUCAAAUGUCUGCCUUAUCAACUGUCGAUGGUAGGUUCUGCGCCUACCAUGGUCGUAACGGGUAACGGGGAAUCAGGGUUCGAUUCCGGAGAGGGAGCCUGAGAAACGGCUACCACAUCCAAGGAAGGCAGCAGGCGCGCAAAUUACCCACUCCCGGCACGGGGAGGUAGUGACGAAAAAUAACGAUACGGGACUCAUCCGAGGCCCCGUAAUCGGAAUGAGUACACUUUAAAUCCUUUAACGAGGACCAAUUGGAGGGCAAGUCUGGUGCCAGCAGCCGCGGUAAUUCCAGCUCCAAUAGCGUA